CUAAGCAUGAAGCCCCCCUCAAGAUGAGAUUUCCCAACUUCGGUUAUAAGAUCCCUCAAAGAUGAUGAGGUUAAUAGGUUCGAGGUGGAAGCGUGGUGACACAUGGAGCUGACGAAUACUAAUCGAUCGAAGACUUAAUCAA
rnacentral:rRNA from 1 species